ACAAGAUUUGGGAGAAGAUAAUUUAGGUCAUUUCCAAGAAAAAUUCACAGAAAGGACUCUGACAUUUACACUGAAGUACAGGCUUCUGAUAAACUUUCUGAUCAUAAAACUGAACUUGGUAAGAAA